GAUGAACGCUGGCGGCGUGCCUAAUACAUGCAAGUCGAGCGAACAGACGAGGAGCUUGCUCCUUCGACGUUAGCGGCGGACGGGUGAGUAACACGUAGGUAACCUACCUAUAAGACUGGGAUAACUUCGGGAAACCGGAGCUAAUACCGGAUAAUAUUUCGAACCGCAUGGUUCGAUAGUGAAAGAUGGCCUUGCUAUCACUUAUAGAUGGACCUGCGCCGUAUUAGCUAGUUGGUAAGGUAACGGCUUACCAAGGCAACGAUACGUAGCCGACCUGAGAGGGUGAUCGGCCACACUGGAACUGAGGCACGGUCCAGACUCCUACGGGAGGCAGCAGUAGGGAAUCUUCCGCAAUGGGCGAAAGCCUGACGGAGCAACGCCGCGUGAGUGAUGAAGGUCUUCGGAUCGUAAAACUCUGUUAUUAGGGAAGAACAAACGUGUAAGUAACUGUGCACGUCUUGACGGUACCUAAUCAGAAAGCCACGGCUAACUACGUG
rnacentral:rRNA from 1 species